UACGUAGGGGGCAAGCGUUGUCCGGAAUCAUUGGGCGUAAAGCGCGUGUAGGCGGCCCGGUAAGUCCGCUGUGAAAGUCGGGGGCUCAACCCUCGGAUGCCGGUGGAUACUGUCGGGCUAGAGUACGGAAGAGGCGAGUGGAAUUCCUGGUGUAGCGGUGAAAUGCGCAGAUAUCAGGAGGAACACCCAUUGCGAAAGGCAGCUCGCUGGGACGUUACUGACGCUGAGACGCGAAAGCGUGGGGAGCAAACAGG
rnacentral:rRNA from 1 species